AAAGCAGCAUCAGUAUGUUCAACAGCAAAUCCUUGAAGAACAUUAUCAGAAGAACAGACUGUUGAUGAGGUUACAGCAUGACAGCCAGGUUCAGGCCUUCCAGGUUCAGCAGACAGAUAGACGGGAAGAGGAGGUGCACAAAGAGAAGAAUAGAAUUGAAAGUUUGAAGCUCAAAGAUGAAACUUGUCAAUCUGCAGUCGCCAGUCCAGAGGUGAAAAGAAGACUUCAGGAAGUUAUCCUCCAGCGGAAACGGAAAGAUGCCGCAGCAUCGAUGGGAAAUCUAAAAAUAGGUA